rnacentral:rRNA from 1 species
CACGGGGGGAGCAAGUGUUGUUCGGAAUCACUGGGCGUAAAGGGUGUCUAGGCGGUCAGGUAAGUGAGAUGUGAAAUGCCCCGGCUUACCCGGGGACCGGCAUCUCAUACUGUCUGGCUUGAGUAUGGGAGAGGAUGAGGGAAUUCCUGGUGUAGCGGUGAAAUGCGUAGAUAUCAGGAGGAACACCGGUGGCGAAGGCAGUGUUCUGGGCCAGUACUGACGCUGAGGAGCGAAAGCGUGGGGAGCGAACAGG